rnacentral:rRNA from 1 species
UACGUAGGGUGCAAGCGUUGUCCGGAAUUAUUGGGCGUAAAGCGCACGUGAGCGGACUCUUAAGUCGGUGGUGAAAUCCUGGAGCUCAACUCCAGAACUGCCUUCGAUACUGGGAGUCUCGAGUCCGGGAGAGGUGAGUGGAACUGCGAGUGUAGAGGUGAAAUUCGUAGAUAUUCGCAAGAACACCAAUGGCGAAGGCAGCACUCUGGGACGUGACUGACGCUGAGACGCGAAAGCGUGGGGAGCAAACAGG